CAAGGAUCGCCCAGUCGCCUUCUGAGUUCCUUCUACGCAUGUUCCAACCUCAUUCGCUUACCUCCAAUUCCGAGUGAAGUUUCUUACUACCGUGCUGCGGUUGGAUCUCUGAGCGCAGGAAAUGCUGUCUUUCAGGGAUGUGGCCAUUGAUUUCUCUGCAGACGAGUGUGAAUGGCUGGACCCUGAUCAGUGGACUUUGUACAAGGAUGUGAUGUUGGAGAAUUUCAGCAACCUUGUGUUCCUGGGACUUGCUUCAUCUAAGCCUUCCCUGGUCACAUUUCUGGAGCAAAGACAAGAACCUUCAGACUUGAAGAGACUAGGAGCAGCUGCCGUGGAAACAGG